GACGAACGCUGGCGGCGUGCUUAACACAUGCAAGUCGAACGGAAAGGCCCUGCUUUUGUGGGGUGCUCGAGUGGCGAACGGGUGAGUAACACGUGAGUAACCUGCCCUUGACUUUGGGAUAACUUCAGGAAACUGGGGCUAAUACCGGAUAGGAGCUCCUGCUGCAUGGUGGGGGUUGGAAAGUUUCGGCGGUUGGGGAUGGACUUGCGGCUUAUCAGCUUGUUGGUGGGGUAGUGGCUUACCAAGGCUUUGACGGGUAGCCGGCCUGAGAGGGUGACCGGCCACAUUGGGACUGAGAUACGGCCCAGACUCCUACGGGAGGCAGCAGUGGGGAAUAUUGCAUAAUGGGCGGAAGCCUGAUGCAGCAACGCCGCGUGCGGGAUGACGGCCUUCGGGUUGUAAACCGCUUUCGCCUGUGACGAAGCGUGAGUGACGGUAAUGGGUAAAGAAGCACCGGCUAACUACGUG
rnacentral:rRNA from 1 species